AUAGUUUAUUCAAUAAUUUUAAAAGAUUUUUCAACCAUUUUCAAAAGUUUUCAAAAAUUUUCACAAUAUCCAAGAUAUUUUUUAAAAAUUUUCAAAGAUUUUUCAAAAAAAAUUUCAAAAGAGUUUUCCUACCCUCUAACUUAAUUACCAUUGUCCUUAAUAGUAUAAACAAGUUAAAGAAAUAUAUUCAAACCAUAAGAAUGAAAGAAAUGAAAAAGG
rnacentral:lncRNA from 1 species